CCUACGGGUGGCUGCAGUAGGGAAUAUUGGACAAUGGGUGCAAGCCUGAUCCAGCCAUGCCGCGUGCAGGAAGACGGCCUUCUGGGUUGUAAACUGCUUUUGCCAGGGGAUAAAAUACUCGUGCGCGAGGAAUUGAAAGUACCUGGUGAAUAAGCCACGGCUAACUACGUGCCAGCAGCCGCGGUAAUACGUAGGUGGCAAGCGUUGUCCGGAUUUAUUGGGUUUAAAGGGUGCGUAGGCGGCCCUGUAAGUCAGUUGUGAAAUACGGCAGCUUA
rnacentral:rRNA from 1 species